rnacentral:rRNA from 1 species
AAGAAUAUAAGUUCUGCCUUAAGUCACGAAAUGCACAAAUCAUAAAACAACUUCUUAAGAGUUAUUCAAGUAAGGUACAGCCUACUUGAUUCAGGAUACAACCAAAAUUAUAGGGUAAUAUUUUAUACCUGCACUAAAGUGGGCCUAAAAGCAGCCAUCUUUUAAAAAGCGUCACAGCUUAACUUCUCCGUUAAUUAAUACCAAAAAACACUUAAACCCCAUUAUUAGUAUUGAAUAAUUUUAUAAAAAUAUAAAAAAUACGAUGCUAGAACUAGUAAUAAGAAAUAUGCAUUUCUCCUAAAUGUAAGCACAAAUCAGCAAGAACUAUUCCCUGACCAAUAUUGUAAUGUAAAAUAAUAACUUAACCAGAAAAUCUUACUUCACUAAACAUUAACCUAACACAAGAACAUUUAAGGAAAGAUUAAACCAGAGAGAAGGAACUCGGCAAAUUUUAGUCUCGCCUGUUUACCAAAAACAUCGCCUCUUGAUUACCAUAAGAGGUCUAGCCUGCCCAGUGACCAAUUUAACGGCCGCGGUACCCUAACCGUGCAAAGGCGG